AUGCACGUCAUUUGAUAGGAAGUGAUUUCAGAAACAUGAGACUGUAGGAGUAUAGCUGGGGAUUCAUGAAAUGGGGGAGAGAGGGAAGAAAAAUUGAGUGCCAUGCAGUUACCACAUCUGCUCCUCUGACUGAGGCCUUUAAAAAUGAAGGCCUAUACCUUCUACAUAGAUUUGAAAUAAUCUGAGGUACCUGCCAGAAUGGUGAAAAUCUUGCUCAUGUUUUCACACCCUCAGAGUUACAAAGCAAAUGGCAUGCCAGAGAUUCCCUUCUUUCUGAUACUUCCUGGACAAGGAGCCUCUCAUACAAACAAGCGACCACUGAAAAAACAAUGUCACUAAUCAGUAAAAAGUGCAACAAGCCACAUGCAGCAGGGCAAUGCAUGUGCUCUGCAAAGUGCAGUUCUGGCUGGGGAGAGUUUGGUAGGUCUGGAGAGCCCAAAGAAUCCAAGCUGACAAACCUAAACGAAAGGAUUAUCUCCCACCUCCAAGACCUCAGCGCUAUAUUCAUCAAAUGCAUAAUUAUGCACAGAAUUAUAAAUUUAAGGAUUAAAUGUCACUCUUCACUCGAAGCUACUGUGUUUUGCCAUUCCUUGAAAAAGGACAGUGUCUCACAUUGAGCUGUACUUAAAGUUCAGUAGAUACUGAAAUUGGUAGAUAAUGAAAUAUUUUGCUGAAUCCUUCCCAUUUUUGGAAAGCAAUAAAUUUUGCUGUUUGGAUUAAUUAUUAUUGUGGUUUUUUUUUCUGCAGGAGAUUUGUUUCUACAGCCUCAGUGUCACGAUACUGUUUUUCUCAUUUUCAGGAGAGAGUUCACAUUUAUCUGGAAAGUAGCUAGCAUUGGGACUAACGAGAAACAUCUGAGAAAUGCUGCUUUAUUAUUACAGUAGUGCCAAAAAACCUGAAACAAAAUAAACCAGAUUCUUUUUAGGGUAUGAACUAUUCUGCAUUAUAGGAGGUGCUCCACACUACUUUAACAGAGUCAGAGAAUCCAAACAGAUCAUCUUCUGCUUUUCUAUAUAUCUCAUUAUUUGUCAUUUGUGAGACAUCAGUUAGCUGCUGGUUUAUUUGAGAUGACCUUAAUAACCUACAGAAUAUAAUUUAAUUUAUUUUAAGUAAGUAAUUUUGCAAAAAAUGGUUCUGAAAUGAUAUGAGAGAUAAACUUUCCUUAGUCACUAAUGCAGUAUUUAAAAUGUUUGAGUGAUCAAAUCAGAAGAUAAAAAUAAUAAACAUUUGACUCCCAUGGCCAACCAAAAAAAGAACUUUUUGAAUAAUCCAGAGAUAGUUUUGUGACUUGUUUAACUAAUAUAAAGAACCAUAUUAAAAGGGGAGACUGUCAGUGUUCGAGAGACAUUUGGAUAAUGCGGUUUCACACUGACAGAGAUGCAAAAUCAAUGAAAUGUCUAAAAUUAUGAACAUUAAAAAUAAGAAAAACACUACUUUGUUAAUUUAGCAUAGAGAAAUUAGAAUAUUAUAUAAUUGAAAACAGGUUAUUUUAAAAGGAAUGAUCUUUACUAAUCUGUACUCAGCAUCACUUUCAAAUAGGUUUUAGGCCAGUCACUUUCCUUAUUCCAUUUAAAAAUUUAUAUUUUUAUAUUUUAUUCUUUUAUUUAUACCCCAGAAAUGCUUCUGUUCUCAAAUUAACUUGUUAAGGCUAAAAACAGAUGAAACAGGGAAAGUUUAAUCAGGUAAAUGAGUAGUUUUCAGUGCAAAAGCAACAAAGUUCCCAUUGAGUUCAGGAGAGAUUAUUCUUUCCAGAGGAAGAAGGACCACAAAGUUUGUACCCUGCUAGCCAGUUGUCUUCAUGAUAUAGGUAAGUACAAAAAGUGAUCUUUGAAUACGUCUUUAUUUAGGAAAAUGUCCAAGAUUUUGAAGUAAUUUAUGUAUUUAUUAAACUUACUAUUGGAUUCUCACAUUUACAGAACGCAGCAUUUUUCCUUCACCCAGGUUCAAACUUCGCUACCUCACACAAUAUGUAUGAGCAUAAAGGCUUUCUCUUGAGCAUUGCCUGAGGCCAUUAUUGUAUAUAACAAUUGGCUGAAGUCAAGUGGCUGUUGUGUGAUCCUCAUUCUUUCAGGAACUGUGUUUAACUUAUCUGGAAGACAAGGAAGACUUUUAUUUUACAUUGUCUAGUCUCUGAUGUCAUUGAUUUGUUAGUAGAGUGAAAUGCAAAAUGCUACCAAGCUCCAUCAACUGAGUGACAGUGUUGAUGAAAGGUUGUCCUGAUUUUAUUCUUCAUGUUGCACCAUCCACUACCCUUCCAGUGAUGAUUUGUCUGCACUAUCAUUUUAUACUGGCUGCAAUGCAAAACACAAGAAUACUGUUCUCAGUUCAUAGCUUGAGUGGAAAAAAAUCCUUUCCCUCAUGGAGUUUCCAUAUUAAAACUGGUAGAAAAGGAAACUCCUCCCAAUUUAAUUUCUAUGGAAUGUCUUGUCUGGCUGUACAGGACUUAAAAUGUAAACGAUGGCCAAAGUUAUGGUGAGAUUAAGCAAACUGAAAACCCGAGAUACAGAGAGAAAAAUAUCAAGGGGAGCUCAGCAAAACAGCCUAUUCACCAUGUUCUCAUCAAGAAGCUCUGCACAUGAACAUUGGGACUAUUCUUCAAAACAUCAAUUUUCAAUUAAAAAUCAAGGUAAGAUCCUGAAAGAUUCAGCAGAACAUAUCUUUCUGUAUGUUUUUCAUACAGCAGUAGAAAGUGAAAGAGUUGGGAAAUCAUUCAUAGCUGUUGCAAGUAGUCCAUACCCAAAGGGAUCAGCAAUAGUCUCACUGCCUAGAGCUUGAGCCAGAGUUGUACUUUAUUUCAUUCUUCACCUCCUCCAAAAAUGAGCCUCUUACUGAGCAACUGAGGAAUGUAACAAAGGCAAAGGUUUUGGAAUGAAUUUGAACUCUAAAGUUGCUUCCAACUCUGAAAAGCUCUUUAUUUCUUAUUAAAUUUAUGAGUUUUGGGGGAAUGGGCAGGAACAUUGUGCUCAGUAUGAGAAGGAGGAAAGAUGGAAAAAAUGUGCCACAGUCAGGUAUUAACAUAGCUCACUGUUCUGUUUCAUGUGCUUAAAACUAUGGCACUGUUGUCUGAUGCUGUGAAAUAAAAAUAUAGGCAUGAAGGUUUAAGGUAAGCUAACACACAGAAAGGAUGAUCGCAGAUGAAUUUUUACUCAGGAGAGCAAUACCAAUAGAAGGCAAUGGACCUGCUCAAGGAAUACAGUUACCCAUAAUGUUGUUUCUGUCACUGGACUCACAUAAUAGGGGUUCCCAUGUCAAAUAGGUGAUAGGACAGAAGCAUGCACACCAAGCAAUGACUGAUAGUGCUUAAUGAAGGCCAUGUGUAUUAGUAAGCCUGAGCACUGAGCACAGGAAAAGAGAGAUUUCUCCCUGCUUUUCUAAUGAUAUCUGAGAGCACGUUCUGUGUAAAGAAAUAUUUCUUUAGGAAAUAGCUGAUCAGAAUCCUUAGGAGAAAAAAAAAAAAAAAAAAAAAAAAAAACACGACUUUUCCAUUACUUCUGUCUUAGGUUAAAGGCAGUUUUGAUUUCUGCUGUUUCCCCAGAUUUCUUUAAAAAAAUUUCCAGACAUUCCCAUGGUGCUAAACUCAGGCCAACAUCUUAUAACAUUUUUCUGAACUGUUUAUAUCCUAAAUAGAGUAUGUUUCAGUUCAAAGGGUUUAAACCAAUUACGUUACACUCCUAGCCAAUACUCAGGACAUACAGGAAAGUCUUCCUGCUUCUGGUAGGAACAGAUGCAAGUAUUACUGUGGGCUGAGAAAAAAGUCUCCAAGUGCUAAUAAGUUUUCAUAAGUUACUGAUGAAUAUGUUUAAGUUGCACAAUCUAAUCUGUACAAUUAGCUUAGAAUGAAAAUUAAUGAUCAGGAUUGGUAGUACAGAAAAGUAUGUUUGUCACUAUUUGUAGUUAAUUAUUAAAUACAAUUUGUAAUACUUAUUCCUGUAGAAUUGUCUGCUAAAACUUCAGGCCUAGUAAUAUAUUUUUAAAUUUUACUGUCAUUAUUUUAUUGCUCUAUCAACACAUACUUUUUAGAGAUGUGUCAUAGCACUACCAGGCAUUAGAUAUAAUUAAAUGAGGGGAAAAAGAAAAGUAAGUUAUUCCCAACAGCUUGUAUAUUAGAUAGCACAUCAACUUUCACUAGUAAAUGAGACAGCUUAUUUUGGUUGAGCAAAGCUAUGUACAAUAUUUAUAACCCUGCUACACAAGCAAUUUUAGCCUACCUGCUAAUAAAGAGAUCUUGAGGGAAUCCAAAAUCUCAUGUAGCAUAUUCUCAGAUGUAAGUGCCAUCAUUCUCAGAACUCCUUCAUCAGUAUUAAGAUAAAGUCUGGAAUUUGUUGUCUGCUUUUCAUACCAGAUUAAUCAAGCCCUGUCUCUAUUUAUUUCUAAGAGGUCCACAAAUUUCAUACAAGAUCCUAUCUUAAAUCAGGAAUGAUAUGCAUUUGCUCUUCAAAUCAUUUUUUAUGGCUAGGAAUUCACACUUUUCCUGUCUAACACUUUGCAGAUAACAUGAGAAAAUUUCUAUGAAAAUAUCUCCAGACAGUAAAUACUGUAUCUUAUUAAUGUAACUAUUCAUAGAAUUUCAAUAGUUAACUUCUCAUUCAAUUAGGUGAUUUAUGUCACUUUCAGGAGUUAGAAAUAAAAUGCAUAUAGCAAAAAUAAGAGGAUGCAAUGGAUAUAAAAAUCUUUUAAAAAGAAAAUAAUUGUUGCAAAGAAAAGCUAAAUCAAAUAUGGUGAUUUUUAAUUUUCUGUUGCCAAAUGUAAGAAAAACAAUUGAAAAAAUAACCUAAAUAUUCCUGUGGAAUACAAUGUUAGUCAAAAUAAAUCACACAGACAAGCAAGAACUGAUUCCCAAAGCAGUUUUGAAACUACUCUAUUCAAGCAUUUGGUCAUGUCAGUUUCAAUCUAUUUGCUACGUGAAGGUCCUAAUACCAUUUGGCUUGCAUGAUCUUGAUAUUAUCCCAAAUAAACAACUGCUCAAAUAUAUCAGUUAUUAAUCUGAUUUUUAGUUCUCUACAGUAAUUCCAAUCUGGGGAGGGGAGGUAUCCAGCUUCCUUUGUAAAGUGAACCUUCAAAAGCACACAGACUUGCUCUUUGGUGGACAAAUUACUACUUACUCAUUAGUAAAAGAAUAUAUUUACUAUAGAAUGCCUCAUUGAAAUAUUUUUUCAGAAAGUGUUUUUUUUAUGAAAAUAAAUAAUUUUGCCUGAAAUUCCUUCAUCUAGUGUGGGGGAAAAAAAGUUUAACUUCUGAACAGUGGCAUUUUAUGUCAUUAAUGGGAGAAUCUCCUCCUAACUGAGAUCCUAUGGCUUAAACUCUACUGGCAAGAUCUCUGGAAGCUUAUUCAUCAGAGCUAGAACUAGUUAGAGGGCAGCAAGGUACCUAAAAUUCACCUUUUGUGUGUUAAAUAUUUAUCUGCUGACAGUCCUAUGCCUAGUAGGGUGCAAUGCUCCCUACCAAAACUCAAACAGGAAUUUCUCUGAUUAGAUCUAUUCAUGAGAAAAGUCAGUAUUACUAUGAAUAGUCCAAGCAAGAAAUAUUAAAAUAAUGUUGAAAAAUGUUACUGCAGGAAAAAUUAUAUCUUGCUAGCAGCUAGCAUUCAUACAACCAAGUAAUGUCCAACUGACAUCUCUACUCUAAUCCUAAACUUCUAGUAUUCUAUACAAACUAUAUAUAGAAUGAACUACAAUUUUUUAAAGAAACAAACACAAUAAUGCCUCUCGUUAUACUUAAAAGAUAAAAUCAGUUUCUUGCAAAUGUAUUCUUCUAAUUGCUUAAUACCAUCACACUUUGCAGAGCAAGCAUUGUUUCUUCUCCUAAGUCCAUACCAGCUAUCAAAGGAAAGAUAACUUUAUAAGUAGGUUUAAUGCAGUUUUCUCCUUUGAGAACUGCUCUGAAUUUGUUUCUGUUUGUGUAAAUACUUUCAGAUGUCACUUAAAUAUGAAGCCUGAGAUAAACACGCUUUUCACUUUGUUAUGGUUCAAAACUAAUUAAUCAGACUUCUUAGCCAAAACCAGAUACUUUUAAUGAAGUGUCGUGUUGUUUGAGAGUGCGCCUGGAAGAGAGCUUGACUUUACCUUUUCUCUGAGUAACUGUUAAAUAUAACAACCAGCAUCCUAGACACUUGCCUGCAAGUGACUUUGCCUGUACUGAUGAAUGGAAAGUAUUAUUUGUUCUAACUGCUCCUUGCAGAUGCUUUCCCCGUGGUUUCACAGCUUGGUCAUAAGGCAAACCUUUUAAAUAUUUAUUUUAUAUUUUUACAGCUGUUUAAUUGGGGCUGUCCCUACUCUGGUAUUUAUUUGUGAUGUUUGUUUACUCAGAAGGCUUUUAGGUUUGUAGAUGCAAGGUUUUGCAUGACUGAAAGGGCCAGGUACAGUGUACAGUUGAUCACUGGGUAACCCUCCCAAAUGCUGCUGGAGACCACUGGGGUCAAGUGGUGAGAUCAGAGUUGAUGCUUUCCCUGGGACUACUUGCAGCAGCACAAGCUCAGUGGUGGUGGUGGUGGUGCCUUUUAAUGUCAAGUUAAAAUAUAAUUCUACUUUGUAAAGAUAAAAACUGUGAAGCAGAGAGUAACUCUCUUCCAGAAGUGUAUUUUGAGCAGAAUAGAACUGUUUAUUAGUGAGUGUGGCUAGGAAAAGCCAUGAUGGUUUACUAACAGAAAUUCAGUGUAUGGCUGCUCCCUUGCAGCCAAAAGUCACAAGUCAGACACCAAACAUCAUGGGGCUAAAAAAAGAAAAAAUACAUUCCUCCUCAAACAAUGAACUUGAAACUCUACCUUGAUUUUAGAGGCUUUAGAGUUACAUGGGUUUUGAGUUUUAAUAUCUCUAGAUGAGGCAGCUAAGAGCAUGGUGCUGAUUCAGAGCACAAAUUUUGUCUGCUGUCCCCAGGAUGAGACAGCCUGAAUGCAACUAGCAGCCAGCUCUGUCUGAACAGUGAGGUCCUGAUGGAACCCCUAGAAAGCACAGCUGCACAGGCUGCCCAGCAUCCAAAGCACAGUGCUCGAGUCCAAGUACCACAGGCUGGGUGAUAGAGAUCUCUAAAGCUCACAGUUCUGCAGACCUAUGGGAGCAUUAACAAGAAAAGGUUUGAUGUUUAUCCUCAAACAUCAUAAAAUAUCUAGGAAAAAGUACACCAGUUACUGAAGACAUCUGAACAUGCUGAGCAAUUUAAUCUGGCUAUGACCUUUUACAACUGUGAACAUUUGUGGCUCUAGACUGUUCAUAAGAAAAACUCAGUUGUGUAAAAUUCAACCUCCCCUUCCCCACUGCCUUAUGCAUUUCCUAUGACUAUUUUCUUCCACUUCUGUCUGUAUGGAUUUAAUGCAAUUCUACAUUAAAACACAGCUCGUGUGCUGUGCACGUGUGCACAACGUCAAGGCUAUGAGAGAGCAGAAAGCCCUUGUCCUUAAUGAGUAGGGCAUUCACACCCCUGGCCCUGAAUAAUAUAUGUGGUGAAUGACAUGAGUCUAAAUUUCUGUUUUCCUUUACUUGGAUCUAUUACUGUAGGCAUUUUUCCUUUCUAUCUUGUAGCCACCUUCUGUGCUUUCAUCUGAAUAUAACUUCAAGUAAUGGAUUCCACCAGGGAUUUUUUUCCCCCUUUCUCCUUUUCAGUGUAGACAAAAGAGUUAAACAAGAAAAAAAAGAGUUCUGGGCAAAUCAAUGAAGUUGAGGUUAGUGACUUUGAAAAACAAAACCUCCUGUAGUACUGAUACUAGUGGGUAAUGGUAACUUACCAAUUUGUUUCUAUUCCCAUAGUAACUAUUCUAAGUACCAUGGUAACAAACCUAAACAAACAUAAAUAUUAUCUCUCCUUGGUCCCAAAAUUUUCACGUUUAAUGCUGUCCUAAUAAAUAGCUAGAUUAACAGUUCCCCAGCUAUUGUUAACAAAGACAUGCUACAAUAAAUAGAUUCUCAGUGUACCUAACAGUGUUCAAGCAGUUGUGGUGCUUAAUAAAUAGUAUGUAAUUAUAUAUACAUAAUUGCUUUUAUUUAGCAACAUAGGAACAUGUAACAGUAAGUAGCACAUGUCAGUGAAACAGCAUUCUACGGAGACAGGUUGGGUGAACUCACUGGCAUGGCUUAUCAGUCUGUUUGACAGUCUGAAAAGCUAGAGCUGUUUUCCACAUUCAUAUUACCUGUCAGAAGCAUAUUAUGUGAUUAACUUAUGAUUGUAAAGAAAAUAGAUGCCUUUAAAAAUGAUUAUUCUGAUGGAAUUCCAACUCAGAGCCCCUACAGACACUUAGUUCUUUUCUCCUUCAUCUGUUUCACAGUGUUCUGUACAUAUUUUGUUAUUUACCCAAAGUUCAAUUUUUGUUUGGUAGUUUGAUUAUGUCAUACUUUAAUUUUCUAAGACAAAUACACCCUGCUUCUGUUUGGAAACUGAGAACUGAGCUUUCCUGCAUGCACACCCUAAAGGCUCUGAGAGAAGAUGGAGCAGUUGCUUGCAGCAUGCAGCAGCCCAGUGAGAGCUGCCCACUCCUACAGUCUCAGCCCCCGCACAGAGUGUGCUGCACCACUUGCUCAGAGGCGUAGGGCAGCAGCUGCAGGCAGAUGCCAGCAUUUGUAGAGGCAGUUCAUCUCACAGGCGUGCUUUGCUCAGGAUUUUUCUGACCAGGUGACUUGCUAUUUAAACAAAGAGGAAGGCAUCCUUUAGAAGAGCAGCUUGAAAGCAAUAGUUCUCUCUCUUAUUCUUCCCUUAGAAAUCCACAGUGUGAAUGUAGCCAAAGAGACCUGGACGCACCCUAUUCUGUGUGGCUCUUGGAGCAUCUGCACUACAGAACAGUAAAGUCCACCUCCAUAUCUGAGCAGCUCUUGUCCUUUGCCAUAUUUCAGUCUGCCACUGGGGCUUGCUCACCUUUUCAGAGCAAGCACAGACCUUAGCACACAACCUUAGUGAGGGAUGACUUAUAAACUGUGCAAAUCUAUUUUCCUGGAUAAGAGUUUGACUGUUGUUUGACCCCAUUUCAUUCUAUGGGGAGACAACAACUCUCCUCUGGUAAUUUUCUGCUUCUUGUCUUUAGCAUUCCACCAAGGAGGUAAAGCCAGAGAACUAGAUAUUCACAGUGGGGAGUGGGAUCUGAGCUCUUGCAGAGAACUCAUACGCGCAACCAGAAGAGUUACACUCACUGAGGAAAAUAUUUCCUAGACUGAGCAAAGGGAAAGGAAAGAAAAGGCAAAUAUAUGCAGGCUCAUGUCAGCAACAUUUCCAAGAAGAUAGCUGAUACUACACAAACACAUCGGACCUCGAGUGUAGGCUUGUUUGGGUUGGAGGUCUAACGAAAAAGCUGUUCUCAGCUCUAGUCAGCUGCUCCUUGGCUUUGGGCACGACCACAGAUUUGCAUGACCUCAUCUCAUCUGGAAAACGCUUUGAGUUCUGGACAAAAACAGCUUUCAAAUGACAAGUUUUCUGCUUUGGAUUUAUACACUUCUUGCAAUGUCUGGUUCACCAAAUGCCAGCACAGUUACCUGUUACCUAUCUUGCUUGAGCCAAUUCAAAGCUAUUGGAGUUGCAAUGGGAAAUAAAUUUUAAAUGAGUCAAACUACUAUUUUUGUGCUCAUGUAUAUCAGUAUACAUGUUUGUGCUAAACUACUGACUGAACUCCUACAAAGGAUCUCAUGAGUACCUGGUGUGAGGGACUAAGGAAGACAGUCGGAUUGUUUGGUGCCCACUGACAGCACAAGAGGCACUGGGCACAGAAUGAAACACACGAAGUUGCUUAUGAAUCCAAAAUAAGCUCUAUUUCACUCUGAGGCUGACAAACGCUCUAACAGUUGCCUAGAGAUGUUGUGGAGUCUCACCCUAUGGAGAUAUUCAAAAUCUGUCUGGACAUGGUCCUGGACAAUGUGCUGUAGGUGUCCCUGCUGAGGCGGAGGCUGGACUAGAGGAUCUCAAGGGGUCCCUUCCAACCACAGCCACACUGGGUUCUUUGAUACCUGAUAAACCCGGAAGUGAAUGAUUAACCUUCAGAGAGCCAACAUAUCUUUCAUUUUCAGUGGUCAAAUGCCAGGUAAAAAGCCUGUCAUUUGGUGAAUCACUGUGUAAAAUGUCUCAAUACUAUUUCUCAAUUUUUGACAGAGAAGCUGAAAUCCACUGGGAUUUUAAAGAGACAUAUUUGCACUGAAAAAAACAUAGAAGUGUCUCAAGAAAAUUAUUUUUCUUUCACAAGAUUCUUAAAUUGUUUCCCUCUUCAAAAGACAGGUAUCAUCACCUAAAACAUCUGCUCUUAGUGAAUGUUUUCAGAUUUAGAGUCAGAAAUUAUGUCUGGAAUGUCAGAAUUUCUCAAGAGUUGAUUUCAUCCCUUAGGGAUAAAAUUGGAGUGUCUACUUGCUUGUCUUUGAAGCCUGAAGCUCAGCUACUUCAGCAACACAACUUGAGACUGCACUUGGGAAACCUUCCCAUACAUUGCCAGUGUUUGCUCUCAUUACCAUUUAUCUCUGUUGGUGUUAGCUAGCACUUCAAGAAAAUUUCCAUGUCCAAACAUAAAAAAAAAAAAUCCUUUUCUCGAAUCUAAGUUAAUAGAUAUGAAGAUAAAAUCCCAAACACAUUAACCGAUAGCUAAUGUUCAGAUCACAUACACGUCUGAAUUACUCACAUCAUUUUCUUCUGUAGUUGGAAAUUAAAAAAAAAAAAAAAAGUCAGGCGUCCUAGUUGCUGUCUCCAGAUAUCUACUAGAAAAACGCAUUCAGUUUGUUUCUUUCCAUUGCAAGCUGUCCUGUUUUCCUCGAAUCUAGACUACACAUGUAAGACAGUGCUCUGAGGAGCACAAAGAAUGAAACUGAAAUAUUUGUUAAACAACAUGCUUUAAAAUUAACCAGAAGAUCUGACAUUGCAGAAAUUAGUUCUCUGAGCUUAUCUUUCAGGAUCUUUAAGAGUUUAACUAUUAGUACAGUAGAAGCAAUUCACAUUUUACACCAUUUAGCCAUGAAGAAUUAAUUUGUAUUAGACUCCUGUAUACUGUCAAAUCAGUUAAAUGCAGUUAGUUCUGGAGAUUUUACU
ensembl:lncRNA